UUAGUCGUGUGUUCCCUGUGUAGGUCAGGCGAAGGGCUAGACGAACCCAGCAACCGGACCAGAGGCUCAGGAGAGGUGACCUAAUCUAGAUCGACAACCCCCCAAAUACUACACUUACUGAACUCAACAACUGUAAAGUUCGGAUCAAACUUUUAAGCUCGUGUUAGGCCAUUUAUCAAACACACAUCUUGGAAAAAUCAAACUCGAAUAAGCUUUUAAUGAGUCGAGCACAAGCUCUGUACUGGUGUAGAAAACGUGAUGGGAGACCGCUUGGUGUAGAAAAGGUGAUGGCAAUCUUUCAAUUUUUAAGUUACGUGAUGGGAGCCAGCCAGGAGUAGAAAACAUGAUGGCAAUCUUUCAAUUAUUAAGGUCAUUCGUCAGUUAGCGCUAAUUAUAAAAUACCCGAUCCAAGCGGUUUGGCCAAGUGGUUACAAAAAAUCAACUAAAGGAAUUGUCUCCCAAGAUAUCGCAAGUUCGAAUGCCGGCCAGCCAUUCUAAACCUCGGAGCCACCGGAAAUUUUCCCGGGUGUUAACUUCUCGGUCCAAAAUUAGCCAAGUGUGCGCAAAUUGGCCCGGACUUCUGAUAGUAAAAAAAAAUUAUAUAUAGGACUUGUAACACACAUAUUUGCAGUGGCGAAUUCUGGGUUUCUCUCCCUCGGUUGAUUCAGGUUCGGCCGCAAAAGAUUUAAUUCAAGCAAACUCUAUGGGUCCCAUUGCGAUAUCGCUGCCGGUGAUUCUGUUGCUCUUGAUCAUAGCUCUAGCAUGCUACAUUUUCGGUAGGGCGCAGGCCAAGACCCAAGCCGCGAGAGCUCCCCAGUACUAUGGACCUCCAGCUCCCUGUGCUCCUCAAUCUCAUGGCCCUGUGAAAUGAAUUUGUGGUGGUUGUACAAACCAUGAUACAAAAUAUUUGCAUCCAAUUGAAAUAAAGGUGUGACAUGGUAGUCUCUGUCCAUAUGGUUUGAUGAUAGCAUUGUAUUUUGGUGUUUGAAUCCUUGCGUAAUGGCCUGAGAAUUUUUAAUUUCUUGAAUUUUCUUA